ACUCUGUUAGUUUAUGUUUUAAAAUAUGACUUUGAAGAAGUUGGGAAAUGUUAGGAGUGCCA
rnacentral:tRNA from 1 species